UACAGAGGGGGCAAGCGUUGUUCGGAAUUACUGGGCGUAAGGGCGCGUAGGCGGCCUUCUAAGUCGAACGUGAAAUCCCCGGGCUCAACCCGGGAACUGCGUCCGAUACUGGAAGGCUUGAAUCCGGGAGAGGGAUGCGGAAUUCCAGGUGUAGCGGUGAAAUGCGUAGAUAUCUGGAGGAACACCGGUGGCGAAGGCGGCAUCCUGGACCGGCAUUGACGCUGAGGCGCGAAAGCCAGGGGAGCAAACGGG
rnacentral:rRNA from 1 species